rnacentral:rRNA from 1 species
GACGAACGCUGGCGGCGUGCCUAACACAUGCAAGUCGAACGAAAAGACCAGGAGUUUGCGCCGCUGACGUGAGCGGCGGAGGGGAGAGUCACAUGUGUAUAACCUACCUAUCAGACGGGGAUCAUCAUGGGAAACCGGAUCUUAGACCGGAUGAUAUAUUGCACCGCGUUGUGCAAUAGUGAGAUUCGGUUGUUGGGUCAGUAAUAGAUGGAUCCGCGCCGCAUUAGCUAGUUGGUAAGCUAAUGGGUUACCAAGGCUACUAUGCGUAGACGACCUGAGAGGGUGGUCGCCCACCCGGGAGGUGAGACAGGCUCCAGACUCCUGCGGGAGGCCGCAGUCGGGAAUCUUACGCAAUGGGCGAGAGCCUUACAUAGCAACGCGGCGUGAGUGAUGAAGGCGCCCCGAUCGUGAAGCUCUGUUGUUGGGGGUGAACAAAUGUGUAAUUAACCGUGGCGGUAUUGACGGUACCGGGUCAAAAAGCACCGGCUAACUACGUG